rnacentral:RNase_P_RNA from 1 species
GAUGCCGUGAAGGGUGAUCGCUGGUGUUGAGAAAUACUGGAGGAAAGUCCGGGCGCCAAAGGGCAAAGGUGCAGGCUAACGGCCUGUCAGGGUGACCUGAAGGAAAGUGCCACAGAGAAUAGACCGCCGCGGAGCCCUCGGGUCGAGCGGUAAGGGUGAAACGGUGCGGUAAGAGCGCACCGCGUCGCUGGAGACAGGGACGGCACGGUAAACCCCACCUGGCGCAAGACAGAAUCUACCGUUCAGGCCUGCUGGGUAGAUUCGAUUCGAUCGCAUGAGGUCUUGGGUAACCAUGGCCCCAGAUGAAUGAUCACCGUUACAGAACCCGGCUUAUUUCACGGCAUCGCCU